rnacentral:tRNA from 1 species
UCUUCGAUAGCUCAGCGGUAGAGCGGUUGGCUGUUAACCAAUAGGUCGUAGGUUCAAAUCCUACUCGAGGA